UGUUGUAAAAUAUUAUGAUCGUUGCAUAUGUUUUUAGUCACCUGGUGAAGUGGUUACACUGUAGUUCUCCCACUUUUCCAACUUUAAUAUGCUAAAUAUCAUGCAUUAAAGAUACCUUCAUUGCCGUAUAUAAGCAUACGUUAAGAGGGUCCUGAAGGCGGGGUCCCAAUCCCAUUUCCCACCUGAAAUUUUGGCAAAAUCCCAGUCCCAGUUGGAUUUUUAUUAGAAAUCCCAGUCCGGGUUAAUGAAAUCCAAGUCAAUAAAAAACCCUUUAUUUAUCGGUAGAAUAAACAG